rnacentral:rRNA from 1 species
GAUCAUGGCUCAGGAUGAACGCUAGCUACAGGCUUAACACAUGCAAGUCGAGGGGCAGCAUCAUCAAAGCUUGCUUUGAUGGAUGGCGACCGGCGCACGGGUGAGUAACACGUAUCCAACCUGCCGACAACACUGGGAUAGCCUUUCGAAAGAAAGAUUAAUACCGGAUGGCAUAAUUAUUCCGCAUGGGAUAAUUAUUAAAGAAUUUCGGUUGUCGAUGGGGAUGCGUU